AGAGUUUGAUCAUGGCUCAGGGUUAACGCUGGCGGCGCGCAUAACACAUGCAAGUCGAGCGAGGGCUCAUUUCCCGCAAGGGAGAUGGGUUCCUAGCGGCGAACGGGUGAGUAACACGUGGGCAACCUUUCCUAUCGCGGGGGAUAACACCGGGAAACCGAUGCUAAUACCGCAUGUCGUCACCGGUCGCAUGGCUGGUGAAGAAAGCAGCAAUGCACGAUGGGGUGGGCCCGCGGCCUAUCAGCUAGUCGGUGGGGUAACGGCCUACCGAGGCGAUGACGGGUAGCUGGUCUGAGAGGACGGCCAGCCACACGGGGACUGAGACACGGCCCCGACUCCUACGGGAGGCAGCAGUGAGGAAUCUUCCGCAAUGGGCGAAAGCCUGACGGAGCGACGCCGCGUGUGGGAUGAAGUCUUUCGGGAUGUAAACCACUGUCGGAGGGGAAGACAUCGACGGUACCCUCCAAGAAAGCCCCGGCUAACUACGUGCCAGCCGCCGCGGUAAUAC
rnacentral:rRNA from 1 species